UACGUAGGUGUCAAGCGUUGUCCGGAUUUAUUGGGCGUAAAGAGCGCGCAGGCGGUCGUUCAAGUCGCGUGUGAAAGCCCCCGGCUCAACUGGGGAGGGUCACGCGAUACUGAUCGACUCGAAGGCAGGAGAGGGUAGUGGAAUUCCCGGUGUAGUGGUGAAAUGCGUAGAUAUCGGGAGGAACACCAGUGGCGAAGGCGACUACCUGGCCUGUUCUUGACGCUGAGGCGCGAAAGCUAGGGGAGCAAACGGG
rnacentral:rRNA from 1 species